UACGUAGGGGGCAAGCGUUUGUCCGGAAUCAUUGGGCGUAAAGCGCGUGUAGGCGGCCCGGUAAGUCCGCUGUGAAAGUCCAGGGCUCAACCCUGGAAAGCCGGUGGAUACUGUCGGGCUAGAGUCCGGAAGAGGCGAGUGGAAUUCCUGGUGUAGCGGUGAAAUGCGCAGAUAUCGGGAGGAACACCAAUGGCGAAGGCAGCUCGCUGGGACGUUACUGACGCUGAGACGCGAAAGCGUGGGGAGCAAACAGG
rnacentral:rRNA from 1 species